UCCCUGUUGGCUCAGUUGGUAAAAAAUCUGCCUGUAUAGCAGAAGACCUGGGUUUGAUUCCUGGAUUGGGAA
rnacentral:tRNA from 1 species